rnacentral:rRNA from 1 species
CAUAUCAAUAAGCGGAGGAAAAGAAACCAACAGGGAUUGCCCUAGUAACGGCGAGUGAAGCGGCAAUAGCUCAAAUUUGAAAGCUGGCCUCUGGUCCGCAUUGUAAUUUGUAGAGGAUGCUUUUAGGCAGCCGCCGGUCUAAGUUCCUUGGAACAGGACGUCAUAGAGGGUGAGAAUCCCGUAUGUGACCGGCUCAGGCACCUUCUGUAAAGCUCCUUCGACGAGUCGAGUUGUUUGGGAAUGCAGCUCUAAAUGGGAGGUAAAUUUCUUCUAAAGCUAAAUACUGGCGAGAGACCGAUAGCGCACAAGUAGAGUGAUCGAAAGAUGAAAAGCACUUUGGAAAGAGAGUUAAAAAGCACGUGAAAUUGUUGAAAGGGAAGCGCUUGCAAUCAGACUUGGCUUAGAUUGUUCAACCGGUCUUCUGACCGGCCUAUUCAUUCUGAGCCAGGCCAGCAUCAGUUUCGGCGGCCGGAUAAAGGCCUUGGGAAUGUGGCCCUCCCUUCGGGGUGGGUGUUAUAGCCCAGGGUGUAAUACGGCCAGCCGGGACUGAGGUCCGCGAUCGUCUAGGAUGCUGCGUACACCCUGGCAU